rnacentral:tRNA from 1 species
CAAAAUGUAGCUUAACCAAAGCCCCUCGCUUACACCGAAGAGAUGUUUGUCUUACCCAAACCACUUUGAGCCUAAAAUCUA